CACCAAGAACGAUGAGUCUGCGGAUCAGUUAUACAGUGGUUCAUCACCGCGCCGUGGAACACGAAAGGAAGAGCACAGCAUUUACCACUUGACAAGAGAAGCCAACAAGUUUGCAGUGUACGAGCUGACGAGAACGAGGGCCGCAAAGUUAGCUACCACCAUCACACUCGGAACUGCGUACGUCUUGGCCUGGAUUUUGAACCCUUCAUUAUCCGGAAACAAAGUGUCAUUAUCCUUAAGAAAUUCCCUACAUGGAACAGUGUUUUCCGGACAGCUAGUGCCCAUUCUACUGCUGUAAUCUACGUCAUGGAUCGCCGUAAAAGUGAACAACAACUAAACGCACACCGCUGUUACUGAUGGCUGCCAGAGCUGUGCCUAGGUCUUCCAAUAAGCUGUUUUCUCGGAGGAUAA